AUUCCCUGAAGAGCAAGGAAAUUAACAGUGAACUGGGUGAGGGACCCUGGCUGAAAGGAUUCUAGCCAGUAAGACUGCUGAAGCAUGUGAUUUUCCAGAGAGAAUUAGCAUAGAGGAGCAUAACAUGGGUGGAAGAGUGAAGAGCUUACUGGUUUCAUAUGGAUAAAAUCCCUUGAUAAGCUUUUAUCAGCAGAAGUGUCAGUUGAAAGUCUGGUCCAAUAUACUGCAGACUGUGACAGAUGAGGUCAUGAAGUGUGGCACAGCCUCUAACGCGGCACAUGCAUGCACAAACCUUACCAUGAGUGUCAGAGUAGAAAUGGAGUAAGUGGGAAACCAAAGAAACCUGGACAACCUUGGAACAACUGAAGAUCUGCGAUAUGCUAAACAGACUGCCCUAUUUGAAUGAAUUAAUAAUAUCAGCUUAUGUCUUUAGGUAGUGCACCAUGUAUAUGAUGUAACUCCCAUUGACUUUCGUUGAGAAUUAUGGUGACCUAUAGGGAGGAAAGAUGAUUUCCUGUGGUGUGUAAAUACUACAAGUGUCCUGUGGUCCCUAGAGGGAAAAUCACUGAGGGAUAAGGUCAAAUGUAGAGUGUAAUUCACUAAAACAAUCAUAUUGAAAGCUAUGUUUAUAUCAAGUUAGAAAUCCCUUCUGGAAUAACAGACUGCCAAGGUAAAAUCUGAGUUUGUCUAAUGAAGAAUCGGAGCAGAGACCUGAAGCUUAACCUCCUACAUUGGAGGCAAGUGCUCUAACUGCUGAGUCAAUGUCAUUGUGGGGUCUGGUGUUUACAAUCUCUCUGGAGUUGUUCCAUUUUGUAUAGCUACAAUGGCAUGGUAAUAAGAGGUAGGAUGGAUUGUGAAAAUGAAACUAAAUCAAUUGGAAGAGAGAUUAAGUGACAUCAUAUAAAAUUACUUUGUUUUGGAUGUCAUCAGAGUAAGAUUCCAGGACGUUUAUAACGAGUACAAUAAGGAUUAAUUCAGCAAUUUCUGUUCUGUACCAUGACCUUCCAAAGUUCUACUCACCCUAUCAUCCAAGUGAAAGAAUUUAUUUUGGCAGGUGAAUAAAAUAUUGUUAUUGUCAUUAUCAUAGUAAGGAUGAGCAAGCUAGUUUUACAUCUAGGGUGGUAAAUUUUCCUGGCAGCUUUGUAAGGUUAUCCUGCAUUUUGGAAUAUGUUUCCUUGGCCAGAUUUUGAUUAAACUGUUUCUAAGUGCAUAAAAAAUCACCCCAGCAAAUGGGGAAAAAUACAGAUUCUAAUUUAAAUCAAAUCAUCACAAGAUCUGAUAAUUAAAUGAACAUAUCAUGGGUGGAUUAGCUUUAGCUGUAAUGUUAGCAUUUAGAUGUAUCAUUUAUAAGCACAAUCAUCAGAAAUUUAUUCACUUCAAAGGAGUUAAUAUAACCUACUGAGCUCCAUUCACUAUAGUUUAUUUAUAUUGCUUUCUGGAGUUGAAGGGCACUUUUCAUCUUCUCCUUAUUUGUGGUUUAAAUUAAAAGGUCAGACAGUCCAAGUUCAAAAAAAUCUGUAGUCCUGGCUGCUGCAGUCUAUUGGUCAUCCUACUCUGAACUUGUAUUUUGGAAUGA